GACAGAACACGCUGCUUCCUAUGUCCCACGUUCCCCUCGUUCGGUAGCUCUCCACCCGUAGGCGCAGGGGCCUCAGAAUCCCUAUCUGUCUCGGACGGAGUGGUGUGCUGGAGCCUGAGCUCCCGCAGCAGCUUCCAGAACCAUCGAGCAACACGCUGGGCAGUGCCGUGCUCACAUGGGCGGUGGCUACCUGAGCCACGGAGACGGGCCAGCCCUGCAAGCCAGGGCUCUUCCGCUUCGACAAGGAUGGACAUUAUCUGAUAAGUUAUUGAGAUAACUCCGUUGGAGGACUGGCCUCUUGCUGCCUGUUCCCACUGCCCUCGUAUGCUGUGGUGUGACUGUGUCAGGUCAUUCCCUCUGGUCUCCUGGUUUCUGGUCUUCCGUGAUCCUGCCAGACAGAAACUCGUAAUGAUUCUAUGACUGUCAAAGAUAUGUGAUGAUCACUCACCUGGAUUUAUUUAUCUAUUUUUCACUAAGAAGAUAAUUUAACCAACACAUAAACCGCAAGCCUAGAGGGCUUGCAUGAACUGCAAAACAUCUUCAGCACCCUCGGAAAAAACAAACAGAAGCCCUCCAGGGGGAGAGGGUCGUACCCCGAAAGGCCCGAAGGGCAGAGACAAAAUAAGAAAGAGGAUGACCUCACGACUGGUAAAAAAGCUGGGAUAAUAGUGUUAUAUAUAUUUCAGCUCUUUUAUUCCACGGUAGGUCUUGGAGUUACUGUAAAUAUACAUUUCUUUAAAAACAGAAUUAUAAAUUACUUUCAAUAAAGGCACUGAAUGCCUGAACGUUUUCCCAACUUGGCUCUGAAAUGCACAUCGAUAACAUCUGACCAAGCAUCCUCACGCAGGAGAAAAAUUCAAAUAAAUUGCGUUUAAUGUUUAUGGUUUUUUGGGAGGGAGGCAGUAAGAAAUAAAAACCACCUGAGUGAGUACUAUUAUCAGGUUAGUGUGCAGGACAGAAAGAAGCUUUGGGAAUUAAUAGCCACAUGCUGUUCGGUCAGCUGAAGAAAAGCUCAAUGGAGCGUGUGGCCCUCAGAAGAAAGUUUCCUCCUAUAAAAUGAAAAUAGAUGUGGAUCUCUGUGGACCCGAAGGAUGGUCCAGUAGAGAAAAAAGGUUGGAAUUGGAGUCUGAAUGUUAGGAGGCCAGAAGAGUGAUUCUGGAACACUCACUCGGAGGUAAACGACAAAGUC